rnacentral:lncRNA from 1 species
CUUCUAUGGGUGUGUGCGUGAGAAGGUUGUGAAAUUGUGUUUUCAUUUCGAAGAGUUCUUAUGGGAUAAGUCUUUUCGUUUUGAUAAACCUCUUCAUUUGGUAGUUGGAAAAUCACCGUGAGAUGCUUUUCACACCCCAUCCACAACUAUAAAGAGGGGAAGGCACCGAGUGGAGAGAUCAUUCAAUUCUAACAUCUCUCUCUUGUCUUGGUUAAGACAAGAAUUCUCUCCUCUCCUUGCUCUUACACCCUUAGUUCUCUUAGGACAAGCAUUUCUAGCCUAGUCCAAGCCUAAAUAAGUUUAGAACAAGGCUCUAAAGGGUCUUAAGAGGUCUAGCUAAGUUGCUUAGGAGCCUAAAAGUGGUCCAAGUCA